GUAUGAGGAAACCAGUGGGAAUCAAUCAUCACAUCCAAAUCAGGAAUCAACACUUGUGAAGUUAUUCACAAGAAAUGACUAUGACUUUUGCCUACUCACAGCCAUUAGAGGUACUCCUUCGGCAAAAGUUAGCUCCAUGGAUCCUGCCAAUUUUUGGUGGCUAUUGAUUCAGUAUUGGCUUUCAAUAGAAGAUGCAAAUAUGCACUUGAUUAACAAUCAAACUAUUCUCCAGUCAAUGAUGAAUGUGGAAAUAUGAUAAGUUUAACUGAUGUGCCCUGCCAUUUCUUUGUUGUAUAUUUCUCUUAUUAUUCUUCUAACUUUUUUCUUCACCUACAUCGACUUAUUUAUGUGCCCUGCAAUAAUCUCAUUUCAUUACGAUUCUUCUCCGAUUUGUUCACAUAAUCGAUGGAAAAUGACACACCUUGGUGGUUCUCUGUUUGCCUAUAUUCUCUGUUUGGAACCUUCUCUUAAAUAUGUAACUCUAGCAAAGCGAGUAGUUCAGGUCUAGCGAUAGCGAUUCAAGUGUUUGAGGCUGAUAGAACGAGCAUCAUAACGGGCACGUCCAGGUAUUGUGGACGGCGUGGAUAGCAAGGUCUAGGCCUCUAGGGAGUGCCUUGCCAUUGAGCAAGAAGGUUUUUGUGGUGGCUUGGUUAGUAUAGCACCACAUGAUGUCUACUAUGUAGUGUCACAUGUCAAAACUGAGCUGGUGUGAUUGGUCAGAUGAACAUGUUCAUUGUUUGGUCUAACGGUGUUAGAAUGCAUGCCUUUUUAAAACAGAAACAGUUCAUGCAUUUUUUUCGUUUGAGAUAUGUGCUUCAGGCUUUCAGUGAACUUCUAUUAAGUGAUUCAUUUAGCUGCAAUUUGUUUUGUUUGUUGCAGAGGCAGUAGCAUUCCCUGCUUAUAUUUUGAUCAAUGCAAAUUGUUUCUUUAUGUAGUCUGUACUACUGCAAUUUGUGGAGCUAUUAGCUGGUACAAUGCUGUUUGAUCUUUAUG